rnacentral:rRNA from 1 species
AAUGGGGGCAACCCUGAUCCAGCAAUGCCGCGUGUGUGAAGAAGGCCUUCGGGUUGUAAAGCACUUUUGUCCGGGAAGAAAUCGCACCUGAUAAUACCGGGUGUGGAUGACGGUACCGGAAGAAUAAGGACCGGCUAACUACGUGCCAGCAGCCGCGGUAAUACGUAGGGUCCAAGCGUUAAUCGGAAUUACUGGGCGUAAAGCGUGCGCAGGCGGUUGUGCAAGACCGAUGUGAAAUCCCCGGGCUUAACCUGGGAAUUGCAUUGGUGACUGCACGGCUAGAGUGUGUCAGAGGGGGGUAGAAUUCCACGUGUAGCAGUGAAAUGCGUAGAGAUGUGGAGGAAUACCGAUGGCGAAGGCAGCCCCCUGGGAUAACACUGACGCUCAUGCACGAAAGCGUGGGGAGCAAACAGGAUU